AGAUAACCACAUAAAUCAGAAACUAGUCAGUCGCAUACAGCAAACCCCAAGCCUACAGUUGCUACCAAAGUCCACCUUCUCAAUUUUGGGAUGAUUCGUUGUCUACUCAGGUAUUCCACAGAUGCAGGGUACAUCAAGUUGAUUGUGGAGAUUUAAUCAGCUGCUCCUGAGGCUGCUGGGAGAGAUUUCCCUUUCUCUUCUUUGUUUGCACAGCUCCUGGGGUUCUGCCUUGGACCUGGCCCUGCCUCUGCAUGAUGUACAUAUGUGCCAGUUAUGCCCUCUGGAACCUGAGAGAAGAGUGUCAUCCUGUCUUCAUGCAAUGCUUAGAAUUACUGAAGCCAUCUCAUGACCAUGAGAGAAG